rnacentral:lncRNA from 1 species
GAGGUAGUUGAAGAGUCGGAAGUGCCAAGGCAACAAUGGAAAAGGAUGGAAAAGUUAAAGAAAAAAACAACAAAAUCCUGAAGUCCAACACGGCCUGUGUCUCCUGACACGGCCCGUGCUGCAAGAAUCAGCUCGCCCCAUAGAAAAACCAGGGGGCUGACACGGCCGACCGUGUUGCCUGGCACGGCCCGUGUCAGCAAGUCUGAAGGAAAAAUUAAAAUUAAAAUAAUUGAAGAGCCAACACGGUCGGCCGUGUUGCCUGGCACGGCCCGUGUUGGCAGGUGCGCUGAAUUUUCUGGUUUGAUGUUUUCACCCAUGUAAGUGAUCCCAGAGGGAAUUUUUGAUUUUUUGGCUUGACUGUAAUGUGUACUGCAAUAUUUAGACCUAAUGAAAAGAAGGAUUGAGGGGGGAGAAAAAAGAAUCUUACGAAGAGAAGUAGAGCAAUCAAGGUUUUUGGAGAACGGAGAUCAUCAAGCGCGGAAGCAAUUGAAGAUCGAAGUUAUCCAAUCUCUUGUAAUGUUUAACCUUAAAUUUGUACUUUCUUUGAAUAUUAUGACGAGCUAAACCCCUCAAUGCUAAGGGGGUGUCCCUGAAUUGUAGUUGUAAUGAACCUUCUUCCUACAAUUUUAUGAAAAUUUAUGUUUUUAUGAAUUCAA